ensembl:snRNA U6 U6 spliceosomal RNA
GUGCUGGCUUCAAUAGUACACAAACCAAAACUGAAACAACAUCAAGAAGAUCAGCAUGAUCCCUGCACAAGGAUGACACACAAAUCUGUGCAGUGUUGUGUAUUUCU